GUGUGCUCUGCUGCGGAGAGACAGAGACCAACUUAAAGAGCGCCUAGCGGUCGUGGAGAGCGUCCUUAAAAAGUUGCACGCCCUUUGAAGUGAGAGAGUUGAACCCAGCAUCUUCCUACGAGACCGACAGCUGGUACCUCUGGAGCCGGCGAGCUGUGACCAGCCUGGUUCCCUUUGUUUCUUCUUCAGCCACGGCUUCUUCUAGCCCCCUGCUCUUGCCCUCACCUCACCCGA